rnacentral:rRNA from 1 species
UACGGAGGAUCCGAGCGUUAUCCGGAUUUAUUGGGUUUAAAGGGUGCGCAGGCGGAAUAUUAAGUCGGCGGUGAAAGUUUGCAGCUUAACUGUAAAAUUGCCGUCGAUACUGGUAUUCUUGAGUGUAUAUGAAGUAGGCGGAAUUUGUAGUGUAGCGGUGAAAUGCAUAGAUAUUACAAGGAACUCCGAUUGCGAAGGCAGCUUACUAAAUUACAACUGACGCUUAGGCACGAAGGCGUGGGUAUCAAACAGGAUUAGAUACCCCCGUAGUCCCUGAG